rnacentral:rRNA from 1 species
GGCGAACGGGUUGCGUAACGCGUAGGCAACCUGCCCACAACUGGGGGAUAGCCUUGCGAAAGCGAGGGUAAACCCGCAUGGUCCUUUGGAGUCACCUGGCUUUUAAGGUAAACAUUUAUGGGUUGUGGAGGGGCUUGCGUCUGAUUAGCUAGUUGGUGGGGUAACGGCCCACCAAGGCGAUGAUCAGUAGGGGUUCUGAGAGGAUAGGCCCCCACAUGGGUACUGAGACACGGACCCAACUCCUACGGGAGGCAGCAGUAGGGAAUAUUGGGCAAUGGGCGGAAGCCUGACCCAGCCAUGCCGCGUGCAGGAUGAAGGCGCUCAGCGUUGUAAACUGCUUUUAUCUGGGAAGAAAAGUAUGCCUGCGGGUGUAUGUGACGGUACCAGAGGAAUAAGCACCGGCUAACUCCGUGCCAGCAGCCGCGGUAAUACGGAGGGUGCAAGCGUUGUCCGGAUUUAUUGGGUUUAAAGGGUGC